GAUGAACGCUGGCGGCGUGCUUAACACAUGCAAGUCGAACGGAAAGGCUCCUGCUUGCAGGGGUACUCGAGUGGCGAACGGGUGAGUAACACGUGGGUGAUCUGCCCUGCACUUCGGGAUAAGCCUGGGAAACUGGGUCUAAUACCGGAUAGGACGAUGGUUUGGAUGCCAUUGUGGAAAGUUUUUCGGUGUGGGAUGAGCUCGCGGCCUAUCAGCUUGUUGGUGGGGUAAUGGCCUACCAAGGCGUCGACGGGUAGCCGGCCUGAGAGGGUGUACGGCCACAUUGGGACUGAGAUACGGCCCAGACUCCUACGGGAGGCAGCAGUGGGGAAUAUUGCACAAUGGGCGCAAGCCUGAUGCAGCGACGCCGCGUGGGGGAUGACGGCCUUCGGGUUGUACUCCUUUCGCUAGGGACGAAGCGCAAGUGACGGUACCUGGAGAAGAAGCACCGGCUAACUACGUG
rnacentral:rRNA from 1 species